rnacentral:rRNA from 1 species
GACGAACGCUGGCGGCGUGCUUAACACAUGCAAGUCGAACGGAAAGGCCCUGCUUUUGUGGGGUGCUCGAGUGGCGAACGGGUGAGUAACACGUGAGUAACCUGCCCUUGACUUUGGGAUAACUUCAGAAAACGGGGGCUAAUACCGGAUAGGAGCUCCUGCUGCGUGGUGGGGGUUGGAGAGUUUUGGCGGUUGGGGAUGGACUCGCGGCUUAUCAGCUUGUUGGUGGGGUAGUGGCUUACCAAGGCGUUGACGGGUAGCCGGCCUGAGAGGGUGACCGGCCACAUUGGGACUGAGAUACGGCCCAGACUCCUACGGGAGGCAGCAGUGGGGAAUAUUGCACAAUGGGCGGAAGCCUGAUGCAGCAACGCCGCGUGCGGGAUGACGGCCUUCGGGUUGUAAACCGCUUUCGCCUGUGACGAAGCGUGAGUGACGGUAAUGGGUAAAGAAGCACCGGCUAACUACGUG